rnacentral:misc_RNA from 1 species
GAUGAAGAAUGUAGCGAAAUGCGAUAAUUAAUGUGAAUUACAGAAUUCCGUGAAUCAUCGAGUCUUUGAACGCACAUUGCGCCUCAUGGCAUUCCGUGAGGCAUGCCCAUCUCAGCGUUAGAAAAUAUUCUCAAAUUUUAGUUUUGUGCUAAAAUUUGGAUCAUGUCAAGGAAGCUAUUACUAUUAUUGUGAUCGCUCUUUGGAAAUUGAUAGGUCUUUGAGUUGCUACUCAUAGAACGUGAUGAAUCUUUCUUCGUUCUAUUGUAAUUCACUCUGGUAGUCCUAAAACUUGUAUGCCUGUGGCAUAUCUUGUAAUUUGACCUGAGAUUGGGUAGGGAUACCCGCUGAACUUAAGCAUAUCAAUAAGCGGAGGA